CGUAGGGUGCAAGCGUUAUCCGGAAUUAUUGGGCGUAAAGAGCUCGUAGGCGGUUUGUCGCGUCUGCUGUGAAAACCGGAGGCUCAACCUCCGGCCUGCAGUGGGUACGGGCAAACUAGAGUGCGGUAGGGGAGAUUGGAAUUCCUAGUGUAGCGGUGGAAUGCGCAGAUAUCAGGAGGAACACCGAUGGCGAAGGCAGAUCUCUGGGCCGUAACUGACGCUGAGGAGCGAAAGCGUGGGGAGCGAACAGGAUUAAAUACCCUAAUAAUCCACACCGUAAACGUUGGGAACUAGAUGUGGGGGCCAUUCCACGGCUUCCGUGUCGCAGCUAACGCAUUAAGUUCCCCGCCUGGGGAGUACGGCCGCAAGGCUA
rnacentral:rRNA from 1 species